AGUGUGAGCAUGCCUGUCGGGA
rnacentral:siRNA from 1 species